AAGUCGUAACAAGGUCUCCGUAGGUGAACCUGCGGAGGGAUCAUUACUGAGUUAGGGCCUCUGGCCCGACCUCCAACCCAUUGUUUUCCGACUCUGUUGCCUCGGGGGCGACCCGGCCGCUCGCGGUCAGGGGCCCCCGCUGGUCCACAUAACUCUGCAUCUUUGCGUCUGAGUACAUUUUUAAAUGAAACAAAACUUUCAACAACGGAUCUCUUGGUUCUG
rnacentral:misc_RNA from 1 species